UACGAAGGGGGCUAGCGUUGCUCGGAAUCACUGGGCGUAAAGCGCACGUAGGCGGAUUGCUAAGUCAGGGGUGAAAUCCUGGAGCUCAACUCCAGAACUGCCUUUGAUACUGGCGAUCUCGAGUCCGGGAGAGGUGAGUGGAACUGCGAGUGUAGAGGUGAAAUUCGUAGAUAUUCGCAAGAACACCAGUGGCGAAGGCGGCUCACUGGCCCGGUACUGACGCUGAGGUGCGAAAGCGUGGGGAGCA
rnacentral:rRNA from 1 species